AGGUGUCUAAAUAUCACAGCAUACAACUCUUAAGCAAGAAAGCAUGUAUGUGGACAUGGCAGAAAUAUACAGGUGUGCUACAGUGGUGAAUUCUUGGUCCUUUAAACCAUUUUUUUAAAAAUGCCAUUUGCACAGCAAUUUACAGUGCAAUUCUAACCAUGUUUAUUCAGAAAGUAGUUCCACUGAAUUCAAUGAGGUUUGCUCUUAGGUAAGUGGUGUUUAAACUGAAGAAAGUAGGAAAAACCACUGGGCCGGUAAGAUACAAUCUAAGUCAAAUCCCUUAUGAAUACACAGUGGAAGUGAGGAACAGGUUUAAGGAUUUAGAUUUGGUGGACAGAGUGCCUGAAGAACUAUGUGUGGAGGCUUGCAGCAUUAUACAGGAGGCAGCAACGAAAACCAUCCCAAUGAAAAAGAAAUGCAAGAAAGCAAAGUGGCUGUCCAACAAGGCCUUACAAAUAGCGGGGGAAAGAAGGCAAGCAAAAUGCGAGGGAGAUAGUGAAAGAUACAGGAAAUUGAAUGCAGAUUUCCAAAAAAUAGCAAGGAGAGACAAGAAAGCCUUCUUAAACGAGCAAUGCAAAGAAAUAGAGGAAAACAACAGAAUGGGAAGAACCAGAGAUCUGUUCAAGAAAAUCAGAGAUAUGAAAGGAACAUUUCGUACAAAGAUUACCGUAAUAAGGGACAAAAGUGGUAAGGACCUAACAGAAGCAGAAUACAUCAAGAAGAGGUGGCAAGAAUACACAGAGGAACUAUACCAGAAAGACAUGGAUGUCUCGUACACCCCAGGUAGUGUGGUUGCUGACCUUGAGCCAGACAUCCUGGAGAGUGAAGUCAAAUGGGCCUUAGAAAGCACUGCAAAUAACAAGGCCAGUGGAAGUGAUGGUAUUCCAGCUGAACUAUUUAAAAUUUUAAAAGAUGAUGCUAUUAAGGUACUACACUCAAUAUGCCAGCAAGUUUGGAAAACUCAGCAGUGGCCAGAGGAUUGGAGGAGAUCAGUCUACAUUCCAAUCCCAAAGAAGGGCAGUGCCAAAGAAUGCUCCAACUACCGCACAAUUGCACUCAUUUCACACGCUAGCAAGGUUAUGCUUAAAAUUCUACAAGGAAGGCUCAAGCAGUAUGUGGACCGAGAACUCCCAGAAGUGCAAGCUGGAUUUAGAAGAGGCAGAGGAACCAGAGACCAAAUUGCAAACAUGCGCUGGAUUAUGGAGAAAGCUAGAGAGUUCCAGAAAGACAUCUACUUCUGCUUCAUUGACUAUGCAAAAGCCUUUGACUGUGUCGACCACAGCAAACUAUGGCAAGUUCUUAAAGAAAUGGGAGUGCCUGAUCACCUCAUCUGUCUCCUGAGAAAUCUCUAUGUGGGACAAGAAGCUACAGUUAGAACUGGAUAUGGAACAACUGAUUGGUUCAAAAUUGGGAAAGGAGUACGGCAAGGCUGUAUAUUGUCUCCUGCUUAUUUAACUUAUAUGCAGAAUUCAUCAUGCGAAAGGCUGGGCUGGAUGAAUCCGAAGCCGGAAUUAAGAUAGCCGGAAGAAAUAUCAACAACCUCAGAUAUGCAGAUGAUACAACCUUGAUGGCAGAAAGUGAGGAGGAAUUAAAGAACCUUUUAUUGAGGGUGAAAGAGGGGAGCGCAAAAUAUGGUCUGAAGCUCAACAUCAAAAAAACGAAGAUCAUGGCCACUGGUCCCAUCACCUUCUGGCAAAUAGAAGGGGAAGAAAUGGAGGCAGUAAGAGAUUUUACUUUCUUGGGCUCCAUGAUCACUACAGAUGGUGACAGCAGUCACGAAAUUAAAAGACGCCUGCUUCUUGGGAGAAAAGCAAUGACAAACCUAGACAGCAUCCUAAAAAGUAGAGACAUCACCUUGCCAACAAAGAUCCGUAUAGUAAAAGCUAUGGUUUUCCUAGUAGUGAUGUAUGGAAGUGAGAGCUGGACCAUAAAGAAGGCUGAUCGCCGAAGAAUUGAUGCUUUUGAAUUAUGGUGCUGGAGGAGACUCUUGAGAGUCCCAUGGACUGCAAGAAGAUCAAACCUAUCCAUUCUUAAGGAAAUCUGCCCUGAGUGCUCACUGGAAGGACAGAUCGUGAAGUUGAGGCUCCAAUACUUUGGUCACCUCAUGAGAGAGAAGACUCCCUGGAAAAGACCCUGAUGUUGGGAAAGAUGGAGGGCACAAGGAGAAGGGGACGACAGAGGAUGAGAUGGUUGGAUGGUAUUCUCGAAGCUACCAGCAUGAGUCUGUCCAAACUGCGGGAGGCAAUGGAGGACAGAAGUGCCUGGCGUGCUCUGGUUCAUGGGGUCACGAAGAGUCGGACACGACUAAACGACUAAACAACAACAACAACAACAACAACAACAACAACAAGUGGUGUUAGGAUUGCAGCCUAAAUAUUGGGGAAUCUGAGGAGUUGCAAUUCAGUCUGAGUGUUUUGUUCUCAGGCUUGCUGGAUUUCUGAGAGGUGCUGCACACAAACCCUGAAGGUACUGCCUUUUUAAUCAGUAAUGAGAGCAGAUUCUUCCAUUAACCAGCAACACCAUUGGUGUAACCUGUAUCCACAAACAAGAAAAAGAAUCCAGCACUAAUUAAGUAGUGUAUGAAUGCCUCUGUGCCUACAAAGCAUGAUACCAUAAACAUUUGCUUUUAUGAUAGCUGCUACAAUCAAUGCAACUUUCAGUGCCUAGCAGAUGAUGAGCUAUUUAAUUCUGACACCUAGAUGCACAAUUACAACUCUGUAGCAUGGGAUAUUAUAGAGUAACCUGGACAACACUAGCAGUCCUUUGGAUAUGGCUAGGAGAGUGCUAUCAGUCUUUUACCAUCAGGAGAACUAUACUCCUCUCAUCUACCACUGGUGUCAUACAAUGAGCAUCAGUUAGGACAAGGCUUGUUCUGACAGCUAAUAUUCUGGCCAACAAGCAGGAAGUAGGUACAGCUGCAUCCUACAGCUGCAAUUUUUGACAGAAGCUGGUUCAGCUGCACUUGGCAGAGGUACUAUUAUAAUUCCACCCAAAACACAAUUGCAGAUAAUCUCCUAAACUCCCCUAGUAUGCAAAUCUUGAACUGAACUAUAAUCUUCUCAAUCUUCCUUUACCCAAAGAUAGAAAAUGUCACUAUUCUGCAGCCUUCUGGGAUCGUUUCUGCCCUCUGUGUCAUCUCAAAUAUAAAUGCCAGUGGUGCUGAAUUUUCAUCAGCUGCUUCCCUGAGCACCUGAAGUAUGUUUCAUCAGGCCCUGAUGACUUAAAUACUGAUUUCAUCACCUCCCUACCCCCUAUUUGUCUGAUCAUAGAUCCCACAGCACCCUUCCUGUACUCCUGGCCUGCUUGUGGGCUUCCCGUUAGCAUCUGGUUCAUCACUCAGGGAACACUGGACUAGAUGGGCCUUUGAUCUGAUCCAGCAGGACUUCUCUUAUACUGGAAAUGCAACAAUACUUCCUUGUACAUAUGUUAUAUGUUAGCACCAACCCUGAUUCCUGACACAUUUGCAUAUUGCUUCCAACAUCCCUAGCUCAUCUAAUUCACUUAGUACCUUUUUUGUAAUUUUAUCCUGAACCAUUUAUUAAUCUCUGUAGAGGCAUGCUCUUGCUUCCAUAUAUAUAUAUAUAUAUAUAUAUAUAUAUAUAUAUAUAUUCCCUUUCCUGUAUGCUUCACUUUUGAUCUUGAUUUCACUUUCAGUUAAAAGUGGCCACUUCUUUAUGCAGCCAUAUUAAUCUCGCAUGAACCUUUCCAUCCCGUUUUUGGCACUGGAAUAGACACAAUUGGGCCUCCACAUCUUAGAAAUUGUAGGUCCUUCUGGGUUACCCAUUUCUUUAGUUUCUAUGUACAAAAAAACUGAGAAGAGCCUAGGUCCCAGACUAAUGACUAAUUCAUAAACCAGUUCUGUUUCCAGAUUGAAACGGGAAAGAAAAAAAUAAGAGCGAUAAGUAACAGAACUUUUUUUUCGGGCAGGUUUUAAAUAGCUUCCAUGUUUUGGGGGUGGGAGGAGAUGUGGCAGGUAGUCUGUAACUUCCUACCUCACCUUGUGCUCUCCAUGGAGCUGUGUCAUAGUAGAUUGUUUCCAUACACCCAUGUACAGCCCAUGUCUUCAGCGCCUGCAUGGGCUGGGUGUCGGGAGCACCUUCUUUGACCUUCCGAUCACAGGAACAGCAGCACAGCAUUCCUGAGGAAUAGGUCCUGGUGCAGUGGACUCACAUUUGCUGAUGUGAGCACCUCAAAAGCAGCAGAGUAACGGAAGCAAAGCUGUGAAGGUUUUGUUGCAUACCUAAUUUAUUUCUACUGAUUAAACAAAUAAAAGAACAUAACAAACAUGCACAAGAGAAGCAGCUCUUUCAUACUGCCAUCUUGUCUCUAGACAGCUCAAAGAAAAAAACCACACAGUACUAGGGACGGAAGAGUAGUUUCCGCCCCCGUCUUUCUCACAGGCAGAAAAUAAAACAAACAUGAUCUGGUGAUCUUUGCAAUGGGAGGGAUGAAAAUACUGACAGAUUGGACAGGGUGUGGCUGAUCCAUGUUUCUGUAGGAGCUUACAUCUAAAAAUUUGACAAAAGGGAAUCAACAGAGGAAGAGGAAGAAGGGAUGAACAGAGAAGUAAUGUGCAGUUGUUUCAGUGGCACACAAUGACUCUCAACCUGAUUUUUACCAUUAUAUUGUACAAAUCAAUGUCAAGAAUUUUGGGGUUUUGACUCAUAAUUUUGACUCACACUUGAAAUUUUUCAUGCUACAGGAAGAAACUUCAUGAUGAUACAUGCCACGGGGAUAUGUGUGUGUGUGUGUGUGUGUGUGUGUGUGUGUGUGUGUGUGUGUGUGUGAGAUUCUGAAAUAAACUAUUCUGACAAAUACAUAAUUACAUUUCCUGUACAGGCGACAGAGAAAAAGAAGAUAAAUUUGUUGAUACAUCUUUACAAAUAAUAGUGGACAACAAUUUGGACAUAUGAGUGUAAAAUUCAUGAUGGAAAUAAGAGUUGCAGAUCUUAUUUGUGGG
rnacentral:lncRNA from 1 species